ensembl:lncRNA
AUGUUGAUAAUAAUAACAAAAAAUCUUUCUCAAGCACCAAAUCAGAACUGCAUUUUGAUGAGGUUGAUGAGGUUGUGCUCUGUUCCUCUUUUACAGAGCAUCCGUCAAUGUAGGCGGAUAAUCGUCAUUGACAGGCUGAAAUCAUUAACUAAAUGUAAGCAAAUUUCAAGAGCACUUGUGCGGGACCAGAGAGUGCGCACAGAAUAAAACUAUGAUGAAUUUAUGAGAGAAGCAAACAGAGACCUUCUGACAUCAAUAAAUUGGCACUGUACGAAGACCUCCCAAUGGUAUAAAGAAGGCUUCUAUUACAUGUUGAAGAGGCAAAAUGCACAAAAGCACAGAGAGCACCAUAUAGAAAUGCUUGAUGUGUGACAUAUAUUCAUGGCACAGAAGUAGUUGAGUAAAUCUUACAAUGCAAUUUGAAGAUGUUUGAUGUAAUUUCUUUGGCACCUGCCUCAUAGGAUCCACAUCGCCUAACCUGCACACGUCAGUUCAUUACUCAAGGAGUCCUCAAGGACAGUGUCUCUUCAAUAUUCAAUGACUACAGUGCAAUAACUUGUUUUCUUGGAAAUGUAUAUGAACAUGUAAUGGCUCCCAGCGGACACUGCAAGAAUAUUAUUGUAGCGAGCCAGAAAUGAAGCUAUUGCUGUCCAACUGAGUUUUUCUUUUUCACACCAACAUAUCCAAGACACUUUUAUUAAUGAAUCUAAAUCUAUUCAGUAAGUCACUUUCUAUGUUAUUAUAAGCCACACAUGGAUUUUUCUUGAUAAUAGUGCCACAUCCUGACUAUGUUAUGAUUCUAGUAGACAUUGUACAUUUCAAAAGCUCUUCCCCACCUAUAUACCUCAUUACACAGCACAGCGGUGGCUUAUAUCAGCUACCUUGAGAGAUAAAAACAGUUUAACAGAAUUUAAAGUGAAACUGUCCAUUUUAAAAAGGAAAAGUAGAUGUAAAUACUACAUUAUGGCUGAGAAAUUUCAAAUAGGGCCGACAGGUGGUGGUCUUACUGAUACACUCAAUGUUAUAUAAAUUUUGAACUACAUUUGUGGCAAAAUAGGCAGUGCAGAAACUUCAACCCCUUUGAACUUGACGGCUGGUCAUGGUUCAAUGGUUUUUGUAAUUGUGGUUUGAACAUCUAAGCAGUGAUGGUGCAUAUAAAGUCCCCCCCCCCACAUAAUUAUAGAGUGAAAUAUCAUAUAGGCUAGGCGAUGUAGGGAAAUUCUGUGCUUCUUGUGAGAAAUGGGGAAGGGGUUGAUUUCUUCAUUCAGUCAUUAGAGAGCAAUACUUCAGCAAUACUUUAGCUUCCACUGGGAACUUUUAUAAUGUUAUGCUUAAUUUUCAGCCUUGUGCAUCUCUAACACUCUUUUCUCAUUAAACUCCUCGUUUAAAUUACUCUUAAAGGAUGUUACAUGAUUGCUUUUGCAUCAGAUUGGUCAGACCUGUUGAUUUGACCAUCUGUCUAGUGAAACUGCAAAAUUGCUGGCAAAAGAUAUGCCUGUCAAUGUUAAAGCAAG